rnacentral:misc_RNA from 1 species
GCCCACUCAAGCUCAGCUUGGUAUUGGACUUCGUCUCCCCUGUCGGGAGUCGAAUCUCAAAAUCAGCGGCGGUGCAGCCGAUCUCCCAGCGUAGUACAUUUUCUAUCCGCUGUGGCCGGUCCAGUUGACACCCGCCGGACAACCCCACCAAUUUUCUCAAGAUUGACCUCGGAUCAGGUAGGGAUACCCGCUGAACUUAA